UACGGAGGGUGCGAGCGUUGGCCGGAAUCACUGGGCGUAAAGGGCGCGUAGGCGGCCUGAUAAGUAGGGGGUGAAAUCCUGCGGCUUAACCGCAGGGCUGCCUUCUAAACUGUCGGGCUCGAGCACAGUAGAGGCAGGUGGAAUUCCGGGUGUAGCGGUGGAAUGCGUAGAGAUCCGGAGGAAGACCGGUGGCGAAGGCGGCCUGCUGGGCAGAUACUGACACUGAGGCGCGACAGCGUGGGGAGCAAACAGG
rnacentral:rRNA from 1 species